rnacentral:rRNA from 3 species
CCUACGGGAGGCAGCAGUGGGGAAUAUUGCACAAUGGGCGCAAGCCUGAUGCAGCCAUGCCGCGUGUAUGAAGAAGGCCUUCGGGUUGUAAAGUACUUUCAGCGGGGAGGAAGGUGUUGAGGUUAAUAACCUCAGCAAUUGACGUUACCCGCAGAAGAAGCACCGGCUAACUCCGUGCCAGCAGCCGCGGUAAU